rnacentral:sRNA from 1 species
UUUGCCAAGCCAGUCAGUCCAGUCCAGUUCAGC